GCCUGGACAGGGCGAAGCCAGAGGAAACUCUGGUGGAGGUCCCUAGCGGUCCUGACGUGCAAAUCGGUCGUCCGACCUGGGUAUAGGGGCGAAAGACUAAUCGAACCAUCUAGUAGCUGGUUCCCUCCGAAGUUUCCCUCAGGAUAGCUGGCGCUCUGGCAACGAACCCACGCAGUUUUAUCCGUAUCUCUUCACGGCUGCUCCAGCAAAGCACAGCCACUGCUCGUUACCUUUGAUGAGGUGGCCCCUCCUGACCUUGAACGUGGAGUAGCUUAUCUUGACCCUCGUGCACCUGUGCAGCUGCUGUUCCUUGGAUAUGGGGUUGCUCCUCUUGGCCGCCACCCGUGACCUAGAACUGGGGUAGCUCCUCUCGGCCGCUCCUGUGCCAUCCCAACUUGGUGCUCUUGGUCACCGCGAGUCUCGGGAGGAGUCUGAUAGAUCCCAAACUCCAUCAAUCAUCAUUUCUCAUCAUUGU
ensembl:lncRNA